GACGUAGGGGGCGAGCGUUGCCCGGAAUUACUGGGCGUAAAGGGGGCGGUAGGCGGUCAAAUAAGUCAGAUGUGAAAUACUACUGCUCAACGGUAGAAAUGCGUUUGAAACUGUAAGACUUGAGGGUACCAAAGGUAGACGGAAUUACCUGAGUAGGGGUGAAAUCCGUAGAUACAGGUAAGAACGCCAGUGGGGAAGCCGGUCUACUGGGGUAACCCUGACGCUGAGGCCCGAAAGCUAGGGGAGCGAACCGGAUUAGAUACCCCGGUAGU
rnacentral:rRNA from 1 species